GAGAGUAGAACAUUACGUUGGCAAAUGUAAUAGUCGGUAAGUUGGAGAAUAGAAAUGUAGCUUGUCAGUGAGUACCAGGAACUCCUAUGCUUUCUGAAUAUAGCUACCAAAUACUUCUAGGGCAAUGGAUAUGUCAGAAACUGAAGCAAGAAUGUACUUGUCAGAGGGCGGAGUCAAGAUGGCAUAUUAGGAGGAUGAGGAAUUCGUGUCUCCUCACAACUAGGGCACCUACCAGGCACCGGUGGGGUACCACGGACACCUAAAGGGACAGGAGGAAACCUCAGUGACCGGAUGAAGGAGCAAGGUAAUGCCUACAAGACCAAAUAAAUGAAGAUGAAAUAGGCAACCUACCUGAAAAAGAAUUCAGAAUAAUGACAGUAAAGGUAAUCCAAAAUCUUGGGAACAGAAUGGAGAAAAUAAAAGAAACAUUUAACAAGGAUCUAGAACUGAAGAGCAACAGACAGUAAUGAACAAAACAACAACUGAAAUUAAAAAUAUUCUAGAAGGAAUCAGUAGCAGAAAAAACAGAGGCAGAAGAAUGGGUAAGUGAGCUGGAAGAUAAAAUGGUGGAAAUAACUGCCAGGGAGCAGAAUAGAGAAAAAAGAAUGGAAAUAAUUGAGGACAGUCUCAGAGACCUCUGAGAUGACAUUAAACACACCAUAAUUCUAAUUAUAGGGUUUCCAGGAGAAGUAGAGAAAAAGAAAGUGUCUGAGAAAAUAUUUGAAGAGAUUAUAGUUGUAAACUUCCUUAACAUGGGAAAGGAAAUACUCAGUGAAGUCCAGGAAGUGCAGAGAGUCCCAUACAGGAUAAACCCAAAGAGAAACAUGCCGAGACACAUAUAAUCUAACUAUCAAAAAUUAACAGAAAAUAUAUUAAAAGUAGCAAGGGAAAAGCAACAAAUAACAUACAAGGGAAACCCCAUAAGAUUAACAGCUGAUUUUUCAGCAGAAACUCUGCAAGCCAGAAGGGAGUGGCAGGACAUAUUGAAAGUGAUGAAAGGGAAAAACCUAAAACCAAGAUUACUCUACCCAGCAAGGAUCUCAUUCAGAUUUGAUGGAGAAAUCAAAACCUUUACAGACAAUCAAAAGUUAAGAGAAUUCAGCACCACCAAACCAGCUCUACAACAAAUGCUAAAGGACCUUCUCUAGGCAGGAAACAAAAGAGAAGGAAAAGACCUACAGAAGCAAACCCAAAACAAUUCAGAAAAUGGUAAUAGCAACAUAGAUAUCGAUAAUUAUGUUAAGUGUAAAUGGAUUAAAUGCUCCAACCAAAAGACAUAGAUUGGCUGAAUGGAUACAAAAACAAGACCCAUAUAUAUGCUGUCUACAAGAGACCCACUUCAGACCUAGGGACACAUACAGACUGAAAGUGGGGGGA